rnacentral:rRNA from 1 species
UACGUAGGGGGCAAGCGUUGUCCGGAAUUACUGGGCGUAAAGCGCCUGUAGGCGGGAACGUGCGUCGGACGUGAAAGGCGGGGGCUUAACCCCCGAGCGGCGUUCGAAACGGCGUUUCUUGAGGGUCGAAGAGGAGCGUGGAAUUCCUGGUGUAGCGGUGAAAUGCGUAGAGAUCAGGAGGAACACCCAUGGCGAAGGCAGCGCUCUGGUCGGCAUCUGACGCUGAGAGGCGAAAGCGUGGGGAGCGAACGGG